rnacentral:rRNA from 1 species
GACGAACGCUGGCGGCGUGCCUAAUACAUGCAAGUAGAACGCAGUUGUGAACGGGUGAUUAACGCGUAGGUAACUGCCUGGUAGCGGGGGAUAACUAUUGGAAACGAUAGCUAAUACCGCAUACUACCCGAUGGACCUGCGAUGUAUUAGCUAGUUGGUGGGGUAACGGCCCACCAAGGCAACGAUACAUAGCCGAGCUGGGAAGGUGGACUGCCAAACUGGGACUGGAAAAAGGCCCAAACUCCCAACGGGGGCAGCAAUGGGGGAACUUCGGAAAUGGGGAGAAAGCUGACCGAGCAACGCCGCGGGAGUGAAAAAGGUUUUCAGAUCGUAAAGCUCUGUUGUUAAGGAAGCGGUACUUAACCAGAAAGGGACGGCUAACUACGUGCCAGCAGCCGCGGUAAUAC